rnacentral:rRNA from 1 species
AGUGAACGCUGGCGGUAGGCCUAACACAUGCAAGUCGAACGGCAGCACAGUAAGAGCUUGCUCUUACGGGUGGCGAGUGGCGGACGGGUGAGGAAUACAUCGGAAUCUACUUUUUCGCGUGGGAUAACGUAGGGAAACUUACGCUAAUACCGCAUACGACCUACGGGUGAAAGCAGGGGAUCUUCGGACCUUGCGCGAUUGAAUGAGCCGAUGUCGGAUUAGCUAGUUGGCGGGAGAAGGGCCCACCAAGGCGACGAUCCGUUGCUGGUCUGAGAGAAUGAUCAGCCAAACUGGAACUGAGACACGGUCCAGACUCCUACGGGAGGCAGCAGUGGGGAAUAUUGGACAAUAGGCGCAAGCCUGAUCCAACCAUACCGCGUGGGUGAAGAAGGCCUUCGGGUUGUAAAGCCCUUUUGUUGGGAAAGAAAAGCAGCAGGUUAAUACCCCGCUGUUCUGACGGUACCCAAAGAAUAAGCACCGGCUAACUUCGUG